GGAUGUAGCUCAGUGGUAGAGCACUUACCUACCAUGCAGGAGGCCCUGGGUUCAAUCACCAGCACCACCA
rnacentral:tRNA from 1 species